GAUGAAUGCUGGCGGCGUGCCUAACACAUGCAAGUCGAGCGGUAACAGAUCUAGCUUGCUAGAUGCUGACGAGCGGCGGACGGCUGAGUAACGCGUGGGAACAUACCCCAAAGUGAGGGAUAACCGCCCGAAAGGGUGGCUAAUACCGCAUAUGGUCUUCGGAUUAAAGGAUUUAUCCGCUUUGGGAAUGGCCUGCGUACGAUUAGAUAGUUGGUGAGGUAAUGGCUUACCAAGUCUACGAUCGUUAACUGGUUUGAGAGGAUGAUCAGUCAGACUGGAACUGAGACACGGUCCAGACUCCUACGGGAGGCAGCAGUGAGGAAUCUUCCACAAUGGGCGAAAGCCUGAUGGAGCAACGCCGCGUGCAGGAUGAAGGCCUUCGGGUUGUAAACUGCUUUUAUAAGUGAAGAAUAUGACGGUAACUUAUGAAUAAGCACCGGCUAACUACGUGCCAGCCGCCGCAGUAA
rnacentral:rRNA from 1 species